rnacentral:lncRNA from 12 species
AUGCUUUGCAGGAAGCAGGGGUGCCUAGAGAGGGCUGCUCUGCUAACUGGCCUGUGGCUCUCCUGCACUGUCUGCAUUCACCAUCCUCCAUCAGCUGGUGCCGGCCUGUCUGUCCCAGUUCUUCACAGGCCACGUGCCACUCCAAGCUCACCAGACUACUGGGGGUUCCACAGACACAAGGUCACAUCUAGAGCUGGGGACACCACGGAGCAUUUUCAGGGACUUAGAAAUCAGGGAAACCUGCUCCUGGCCUAGGAAGGACUGUUCUGAGAAGGGAAGGGAGCAUGGAGGACUACCCAGCCAGCAACCUGCUGUAGACAGCCUGGAAGGGAGGUGUUUGGAAUAAGUUUGGAAAUAAGCAGAAUGGAAAUAGAUAAGAAAACAAGUCAUGCCAUGGGCCUGGUAACUGUGCCUCUGCAGAGUACCUAUAUAAGGCUCAGGGCCAAAAAGGUCAACCAAGUCCAAGGCCGGGCUGCUGUGACCCCCUUAACCACAUCCUUCUGGUUUUGUGACAUGUUACAGGUCAACAGUGCAUUUCACUUAGCAAAGUUUGGCCAGAUAUUGACCAUUGAUUUUAAAACACAAAGGAUUAAAUUACAUGUGAUAUAAAUAAGAUUUCUAAGCAAAUUAUAGCCCUGAGAGGGAUGAAGUUUCUGAAUACAUCACAAGGAUUCUGGGAGGGCAUCUUUCAGCAGGCUGGGGGGCUGUGGUGGGAAUAGACGAGGCUUUAGAGAGAGCUUUUGUCAGCUCUGAACUCCUCACACUCUUGGGACCAUCCUUCUUUACAGUCACUGAUAAAGCCAGUGAUUAUAGGAUGGAGGAAUAAAAGGAAAAGAUAGUCAGAGCA